rnacentral:rRNA from 1 species
GUGGGGAAUAUUGCGCAAUGGGGGAAACCCUGACGCAGCAACGCCGCGUGAGUGAUGAAGGCUUUCGAGUCGUAAAACUCUGUCUUUGGGGACGAAUAAUGACGGUAGCCAAGGAGGAAGCCCCGGCUAACUACGUGCCAGCAGCCGCGGUAAUACGUAGGGGGCGAGCGUUGUCCGGAAUUACUGGGCGUAAAGGGUGCGUAGGUGGCCUUUUAAGUUGGAUGUGAAAUACCCGGGCUUAACUUGGGGGGUGCAUCCAAAACUGGGAGGCUAGAGUGCAGGAGAGGAAAGCGGAAUUCCUAGUGUAGCGGUGAAAUGCGUAGAUAUUAGGAGGAACACCAGUGGCGAAGGCGGCUUUCUGGACUGUAACUGACACUGAGGCACGAAAGCGUGGGGAGCAAACAGGAUUAGAAACCCGGGUAGUCC